CUGUCAGUUUAAAAGAAAAAUCAAAUUUAAUAAGAGUUGCUUUUUAGAUAAUUCAAGUUAUUUAUUCAACAUUUCAAAGAAAUCUUUCGUACCAGACGAAGAUCUGAUCCGGAAGGUAGAAGAGCAACGAUCCAGAAGGUGAGCAAACAACGGGUUUUCCGGUCACUACGGAUGCAGCAGCUUCACCGGCCACCGUUUAUGUUUUGAUGAAAACACCGCAGUCAGAAUGGCCAGAAGGAAGCCGACUAGAUGCCACCAGUUCCGCUCUCUCAAUCCGGAUUUCGGGACGAUUGUGCCUGCCGAUGUGCUUGUCGGUCUACUGUCCAACCCAGCGCGGAGGACUUGAAGAAAGAUUCCUUCAAGUUCGCCAAUGCUGUCAAAUCAGCUCCUCAUCUGUUCUGCGACAGAUAAAGAAGCCGGGAAGAAGGAAGCUGCUCUAGUUCAGGCCGUCACGGCAGAAGAUCCCCACUGAAAUCAGGUCCAAUGCCACCGGAAAGCCCAAACAAGUAAGCGGGAUGAACUGCCAUUAUUCUUAAAUGUCUUCUGAGCAAAAAAAAACUUGAAUGCUUCUCUGA